rnacentral:lncRNA from 1 species
AGAAUAAUAAUUUACAUAAGCAUUGAUUACCAUAAUUUGACGAUUCUAUUUGACCAUCGAUUUGUUUUUUUUCUUUCAUCUAUCGUCUGACCAUAUUAGAACAAAUCCCAUGGAAAAAACUUGGUGGAUUACAAAAUAAUUGCUUUUCAUGUGAGAAAGAUAUUACCUGAUCACGCAGGUGUUCCAUGCAAAGGUGGUGAUUUUCGGAAAAGAGAGAGAGAGACAGAUAAAAGAAGAAAGAAAUAUAGGGAAAGAGAAGAAAGAUAAAAAGAUAAAGUUACGGGUGAACUUGGUGUGACAGAGAAAGACAGAAGAAUAUAGAAAAAAAAUCUGUAAAGUUAGAAAAA